rnacentral:ribozyme from 1 species
GGCAGCAACUCCUAUCCCUACCUCCUCGUGGUACCGGCCGGAAACUACGAGCAACCUUAGGAAAGAUCGGGUAACCAACUCCGGUGGGAUCUUUGGUCGUAGGCUGACAGGGAAGG